CAAGCAACAUCACAUGUAUCUUAUAUAUGUGUCCACCUAUAGUGUGGAAGAAGGGGCUUUAAAAUGUGUUUGCAAUGAUUUAGUAUGACUUGAUCACAUCCAAACUUUCUGUGUGCACAAAUGAAUUUUCUGCUUAUCUCAGGGUGUGAUAUGUUUUAAGAUACACCAACUAAAUUUCACAUGUAUAGAAAGAACAAGAUAAUGAACUGGAUUUCUAUCUAAUUUUGUCUCGGAAAGAAGCAUUCAGACGAUCAAGAGAGUUUUUUGGGAACUUUUCAAUAUGACGAAGAUGGCGACAGCUUACAGACCUUCAAACUUCCUGAAGAAAAAAUUGACUCCUUCAGGCACAUCAGUCUAAAGGUGAAAAACAACUGGGGUCAACUGGACUACACAUGCCUAUACAAUUUCAGAGUGCAUGGGGUAGUUGACAUGAGGAGGAGGCCAUCUUUCAUAAACCAUGGUUUUUCAUCAAAAUACCACGUCCUGUUGAAAGAAUUUUGACUGCUCUUCUGCCAGGGAAGAGAAGAAUGGAGGACCUGGCAGAUGUAAAUGAGGAGRCAGAGAACCGGCAGCAACGUGAGCGACACCACCAGACCUGGAUGGAAUUCCUACAGGGGGAAGCAAACWCGAUGGCUGACCUCCGUAGAGAGGAGCUGAGACAGACUUCACAAUUCUAUACUGCCUUCCUUGGCCUGAUGGGGGACAUGGUUAAAACUUUGCAGAAGCAAAGUUGACUGAGUGAUUACUUGAUUCACUUGUACUCUUUAAAAAAAACAA